rnacentral:misc_RNA from 1 species
UCCCCGUUUAGACGAGGCAGUCUGUCCAGAGUGCUCCGGACUUUCAUCCGGGUCGCAACAGGACACAAGGGUUGCGCUCGUUGCGGGACUUAACCCAACAUCUCACGACACGAGCUGACGACAGCCAUGCAGCACCUGUGCAAGCUGGUAUUGCUACCUCGUUCCCCUUUCAGGGUCCUACUACUUGCAUGUCAAGGCCAGGUAAGGUUCUUCGCGUUGCAUCGAAUUGAGCCACAUACUCCACCGCUUGUGCAGGCCCCCGUCAAUUUCUUUGAGUUUUAAUCUUGCGACCGUACUCCCCAGGCGGCACAUUUAACGCGUUAGCUUCGCCACGAAAGGGGUCGAAUCCUCUCACAGCAAAUGUGCACCGUUUACGGCUAGGACUAC